ensembl:lncRNA
CCAAUUAUUGCAUCACAAUAGCUUGGCGCACACCUGCCAUGACUGUGUUCCAUUACAUCCCGCUGUCGUCAGACUCACUGUGUCCACCAGACAGCUCGGUAACAGUGUGACAUUGCUUAUUACUUCAACCCCAAGUUUCCCCUUGGUAAAGAACGCAUUUAUCUAAACAGCACUGGAUAGAAGCUACAUCUCCGUGCGCAUUUUGGCCAUCUUUCAUCCUACAGUGGUCGUGGUGAUGUGUGACUGAAGAAGUCAAUAUGUUUGCCAAUUCAGUCGAGGACCUUGGCCAACGUAAGCUAGUGCCACGGCUCCUCAAAACAUCCGAGGAGGAGUUAGGCUCAGAGGGGGUCACCGGGUACUUCAAACUAUUCGUGGUUCUCCUCUCCGUAAUUAUUUUCCUCUUCUGGGUUAUCCAUCUACGGAAAGAUGAUGAUGAGGUCUACGACGAGAUUGACUCAAACCUGGUCAACAGGUUCACAGAGGGAGUCACCCUCAACUACAAAUACCUCCAGCGCUUGGAGGGGCGGCUGGACAUGAAGAAGCUACAGAUAGACAGACUGAACGCUGAAGCGAACUUUGACCUCUCCUCCUGCUGCUGCUAUGGUUCUGACUCCUGCUUUGGUGGACCCUCCUGCAGCUACACCUCAGACUCCUGGUCUGAGAGGUCCUCCUGCAGAUUCACCUCUGACUCCUGCUCUGGGAGGUCCUCCUGCAGCUACACCUCUGACAACUACUCUGGGAGGUUCUCCUGCAGCUACACCUCUGACUCCUGGUCUGAGAGGUCCUCCUGCAGAUACACCUCUGACUCCUGCUCUGGGAGGUCCUCCUGCAGAAAUACCUCUAGAACUAAAACACAUUCUAGAUCACAUUGUAGAUCUUCCGAAUCUUCUAUGUCCUCCUCCAGAUCUAGUGGUGGUGACUGCAGCACCUGCCAACACUGUAACAAACGGCCGGACAGGUUCCUGGGCGGUAGUCUGGAUAGUCCCUACUCAUUGGAUAGCCUGGAUUGCCCUCACCCAUUGGAUAGCCCCAGCCCAGUGGAAAGCCCCAGACAACCAUUUAGUCUUAGCCCACUACCAGGAGAUGAUAAGGGGCACGUCAGAUACUAUGGCUCCACGCAAGCCUCCAACACCUCCUGCCGUUCGACUCGCCCCUCCUCUGAAAAUGCCUCCCAAUGGUCCUCUCCCAGCCUCUCGAGGUAGCCCAUAAUGAGAGACUGAAGGGAGGAGGGACCAACACCACCUCUAACCUGACCUCUACCUCCACCCACCUCGAAACGACCCAGUCCACCUCAACCUCAUCUCAGGCUAAAACAAGAAGGAUCGCCAGGAAAACCACCAGCCUUCCAGACUUCUCCCCGCAGCGUGUCAACAACCCUCCUAGUCUCAGUGGGUCGGAGGGUAAAGGUAAACCCAAGUCUUAUAAGAGUUAACACUACUAAGUUUAUCUCCUUUUUGAUGCUUGAAGUCACUGCCCCAAAUAUCAACACUGUAAAAAAAAAGAGUACUCCUGCACCCACAAUCUGUAUUUUUUUUGGGGGGUUAUUUUAUUUUCUAAAGGUCAAGACAAGCCGUCCAUCCGGAUGUACCUGCAGGGUGGGGCCCAGAUCACCUUCAUCACCCAGGAUAUCCAGGAGAAGCUAGAGUCCCAUGUCCGUCGCAAGCAGAGCCAGCGCCUCUGGGGAUUCCCCAAGCUAGUCACCAGGUACGUGGGAGACCACCUUGCCGACCUGGCUGCCCAGGCCCCCUCCGCUUCCGGCGACAGCAAGACGGUUAAGAUCCCUGGCAAGAUCAUGGGCAACGUAAGCGACCAUGUUGGCCGAGGGCAGCGAAACACAGAGUUGUGUUUCAGGCUGAGUAACAGGACAAGGCCACGGGAGGAGAGAGAGGAGACCCAGGCUACUAGUCCUGCAGCUACAGCCAAACUCAAGGACAAUUUAUACAGCUCACCUGCCAACAGCAGGCCUGUGGAGAAAACUCCCUUCACCAGCACCAGCACCACCACUACUCCCCAGCCAGCCGAGACCCACACUACCAGACCCACCCAGACCAGCCGAUCUCUGGACGAGUCCUCCCUCCAGAUGGCCCCAAACCCAGUGACCCUGACCCAGGAGAGACGCCAGCUGGAGAUGCAUGUGAAGAGGAACUGUCUGGAAGUCAAGCUCAAACCCCUCCCUGGCAUGGUGGCCACCAGCCAGACAACCCUUUCCUCAGCAACCAGGCAGCCAACUAGGCAGCCCAUCCAGGCAGCAGCCCUCGACCCUCUGAAAUGCCCUGCGCCACUAAGGCGGAGGGAUCCGUCGGCAGCAGAGGGAUACGCGUCUUCUAUGGACCCAGAGGCACCGAGGCGUCAGGAGGAGAAUCUGGUGAUGAAGCCCACAUCUUCGGCCACCCCUUCGACCUCCUCAGCCCACCCUCACAGCUCAGCUCUGGAGACUUGGACCGGCAUAGACACUGUCUCAGGACCCCGCUCUGCCUCCACCCCCAUACGACUGUUGUGUUAUGACACGGACACUGAAAGGCUUUUUGUGUUUACAACAUAGAUCUACAUGGACUAUUUGUUUUGGUACCAGAUGAUUCAGAACUGAUACAUUUUCUUUAACUAAUAAAAAGGUUUUGCAUUUCACAUGGUUG